rnacentral:piRNA from 1 species
UUCGGUGCACCAUUUCUUUUUGUCUAAUG